GACGAACGCUGGCGGCGUGCUUAACACAUGCAAGUCGAACGGAAAGGCCCUGCUUUUGUGGGGUUCUCGAGUGGCGAACGGGUGAGUAACACGUGAGUAACCUGCCCUUGACUUUGGGAUAACUUCAGGAAACUGGGGCUAAUACCGGAUAGGAGCUCCUGCUGCAUGGUGGGGGUUGGAAAGUUUCGGCGGUUGGGGAUGGACUCGCGGCUUAUCAGCUUGUUGGUGGGGUAGUGGCUUACCAAGGCUUUGACGGGUAGCCGGCCUGAGAGGGUGACCGGCGACAUUGGGACUGAGAUACGGCCCAGACUCCUACGGGAGGCAGCAGUGGGGAAUAUUGCACAAUGGGCGGAAGCCUGAUGCAGCAACGCCGCGUGCGGGAUGACGGCCUUCGGGUUGUAAACCGCUUUCGCCUGUGAUGAAGCGUGAGUGACGGUAAUGGGUAAAGAAGCAACGGCUAACUACGUG
rnacentral:rRNA from 1 species